rnacentral:misc_RNA from 1 species
UCCGAGUUGACCCCGGCAGUCUCCCAUGAGUCCCCACCAUCACGUGCUGGCAACAUGGAACGAGGGUUGCGCUCGUUGCGGGACUUAACCCUACAUCUCACGACACGAGCUGACGACAACCAUGCAGCACCUGUGUUACGGCUCUCUUUCGAGCACCCCCACCUUUCAGCAGGGUUCCGCACAUGUCAAGGGUAGGUAAGGUUUUUCGCGUUGCAUCGAAUUAAACCACAUGCUCCACCGCUUGUGCGGGCCCCCGUCAAUUCCUUUGAGUUUCAGCCUUGCGGCCGUACUCCCCAGGCGGGGCACUUAAUGCGUUAGCGCCGGCCCUCGGGGGGUCGCUCCCCCAAGCGCCUAGUGCCCAUCGUUUACGGCGUGGACUAC